GAUGAAGAACGUAGCGAAAUGCGAUAAGUAGUGUGAAUUGCAGAAUUCAGUGAAUCAUCGAAUCUUUGAACGCACAUUGCGCCCCUUGGUAUUCCAUGGGGCAUGCCUGUUCGAGCGUCAUUUGUACCUUCAAGCUCUGCUUGGUGUUUGGUGUUUGUCUCGCCUCUGCGUGUAGACUCGCCUCAAAACAAUUGGCAGCCGGCGUAUUGAUUUCGGAGCGCAGUACAUCUCGCGCUUUGCACUCAUAACGACGACGUCCAAAAGUACAUUUUUACACUCUUGACCUCGGAUCAGGUAGGGAUACCCGCUGAACUUAAGCAUAUCAAUAAGCGGAGGA
rnacentral:misc_RNA from 1 species